rnacentral:lncRNA from 1 species
GGGACAUGUGAUAACGGCGUUUCUAUACGGCGCGCUGCGUGGAACGCUUCCGCGUCUUGCCGGUGGUAGAGAGCUACAGUGGUUCCUAUAUACAGUUUAAACAUCCCCACUACACUGAUUUACUCAUUAAUGUACUGAUUUUGACGCCAAAACACCAGCUAUGAUUUUGGUGGGGGAUAUGCUCGUCCCCUCACCUUGUAAGUUACCAAUACAGGACACAGCAAAGCAGUGGUGUACACCACCUGUGAGGGGGAGCAUCGGGUGGGCCUGAACUCAGUAUAUACUUGGACUCAAGAUCCAAUGAGUAACUCAUCCGUGCUGAGUUCAGCAUGUCUGUCCCGACGGCCAGAUGCUUGAUACGCCGGGCACCAUAACUGGCAAGCUAUGUCUAGGUAGUAAAUCCUGGCAGCAUGUUUUCUAUGUACUUAGGGAGUCGACAUGGGCAGCACUACUCUGUCCAUGUCUUCCUGAAGGCGGGGUUACUGUGGCAUGUGGGUUGAGCCCCACAGACCAGGACAUUACACUUAGAGAGGGCAUGCACCUGGUGGAUUUAAUUUUUUUUCUCGCUGGACGUGUCUGAGCUUGUGCCACUCCCACGGGAUUCCAGUUGAGGAAGACCCUGCCCUUUCAUCCAAUAAUAUGCCUUUGGUGUCGGUGGAGGAGUCUACAGUUGGUCAGCAGCAGAAGGAGCGCCUGACUGUGUCGCUGGCAGAACACAAAAACAUUCAGCACGUCGGAAGGAGUGAUUGGUCAGCACAGCAGUCCAACCACUCGAACCACAAAGCACAAAGACGGCCGACAAACCGGAGGUACUCGAUACAAGGGCAUGAUCGCUCCCCAGCUUCCCACCCACAAACACUGCCAAUGCUUCUCUCUUCUCUGUCACCUAACUAACAAUAUCAAUAAUGGCAACAUUUCAUGAUUUAUAGACUAUUGUGGAAUCAUUGACACGAAAAUGUCAGUGACCGAUCAACUGGCUCUCAGUGAAGCACCUCUACUUCAAACCCACAUGGCUGACAAGGACGUGCUCUCAGCACUACCUCCGUUUGUUGGCUACCACCUGUAGAUGCUGACAUGUAGAAUUUUUCAUCGUAAUCUGUAAAUCCCCCAAAUAAGAAUUUGCUGCCGCUUAUAAGUGAGAUUUGUUUUAAUUACUGAUUAACUUGAUCAAUACAGUUUCCUUGUUUGAUCUACUAUUAAGGUCCCAAUUAAGACCUCGCUCACUGUGCAUUUGGUAAACCAUUAUGUGAUACAAAGAAAGUUACAGGCACUCACUAAGUUUGCAGAGAGAAGUGAAAUUAUCGUGGCUCCACGCUGGCUGAUCGGGGAUCUUCAGAUUGAACUACUCAGAAAGUACAAAUUCCCUUUCAGCAUCUCUCAAAGGGGUGAAAACAAAUUAUUGGAGCUUUCUGACACUGCAAUUAUUAUUUUUCGGUGCACUUAGUGCACUAUGAAGCUAAUAGAGUAAUACGUUUCUGAUCAUGCAAAGUCUUUUAGUGUUGAUACACACGGCUGCCGAGCAAGCUUGAAUGUUUGCCAGCGCCUAACCACUAAAUGAGUUACAGAUGCAUUAUCCUGCCCUCCCACCACACGGGCCUUUCAUCUGCGAAAAUGAGUUUGACCAUUUCCACAGAAGUAUCCGCUCUCCAUUUACCAACUGCAAACCAGAGUCAUUAGCAACACACAAAGGAACUGCUGAGGAAUAAUCAGUCACGAGUGAUUGACCCAUGCAUCUUUAUAUCUCUCAGUUUUAUCAUCACACCAUCAGAUCAUAGGUUAUGACCUCUCAUCCUUGACUUUCCUUUUAGCAGUUACACCAAACCCAACAGAUUACCUAACAUGACAGACGUCAAGUAAAUCUGAACUCCUUACACUGGACGUAAUCACUCCCAAAAAAUACUCUCAAUUAAACUUGACUCUGUCGCCAAUAUGCAGUCUAUGUACAGAUCGACUUUUUGUCUCAUCCAUGCACAUGUUUUAGAAAAGAAUAGAUCUGUAUUGUCAUUGUAUCAAGACAACGAAACAAAGUUUAGCAGCUCUCAAGCUUGACAACAUGAAUUUGUCAAUCCUCGGACUUGUAAAGAUUUAGCCCUCCUGUGGAAAACGGUUUGCUCCUUAUUAUCAUAAGAUUUUGAAAUGUGAAGUUGCAUGCACCACCAAUGUAUUGUGCCUGAAUAAACAUGACUGGCCUAACAGCGGCAAAAGGAUGUUGAUUUUACCUCUGCACACUCCCACAAAAUCUCAAUGUGUUCUGUUGUUAUGAUGUUGUAAAUAAUGACCUUUCACUGGCGGAGAGGCAUAGUGCUAAAGAGGGACCUAUCUUAUCCUGGACAAAAGCACCAAGUACAAUUCAAGAAAUCAUGUGACCUCAUAAAUAUCAUGACUCCUCCAUGACAUGUGACUUUUGACAUAUUUGUAUUCAUUUAAUUUCUUUCUCUUGUUUAUUUUGAUGCGUCACACUAAUUUGUCUUUUUGUUUUGGUCUGUUAUGUCUUACUUUGUAUUAUUCAAGGUUAUGCCUAUCAGCAAUGCAUCAAACAUAACCUAAUUUAAUGUAAAUUUAAAAAAAUGUAGUCUUGCCCUGCCGUACUCAAGACUUUUAAGAUCCCCCCAUCUGUCAGAAAGUACAAGAUUGCUCAACUUCUCGCCGUCUGACUUUGUUUCUAGUUUACACAUACUGCGAGAGAAAAAACAGGUCAGACAAAUGAAUGUAAGCAACAGAGGAGGAGGUACAGGAUGAUACAUGAUGAGACAAGUAGUUUGUGCUGUAAGUCACUGAACUUGUGUGCAGAUGAAAUAUGCUCAAGAGAGAUUUAGGUCUGUAGGGGCUUACCAACUUGAUAGAAGGACAAGGAGAAUUUAUGAAAAUAACCAAUUGGCAUGGGACUAGUGAGAGCAACCAAGUAACAAGAGCAGAACUUAAAGUGCUGACUUUUUUACUCCAUCAGUUCUUUUUACAUUAAUACAGUGAUAACGGUGUUG